rnacentral:lncRNA from 1 species
GCUCAACGUUGCAGGAGGCUGGUGGGGCCACAAGCUAUCAUCUCCCCUAAGCUCCCACAUGGACGCAUUUGUAAUCUCAUCCAUUCCUGUGGCUUUAAAUAACAUCUAUAUGCUGACGAAUCCAAAAUUGAUCUCAGCCCCAAGCUCUGCUCUCAGCUAUAGACUCGUAUAUCCUACAGCCUUCUCAGCUCUCCUACUCACCUCGAAGGCACCUCCAAGGACACGGACCACAUCUGUUUUGUUAAUCACUGGAUUCCCAGCAUUGGAAACGUUGUCUAGCACACAAUGCUGCUGGCAGAAGAACAGAGUGGGAGCAGUGUGUUCAGCUACAUUAGUCAGGGAUAGAGUUUUAAUAGGCUGCAGAAGGAAAUGAUGACAGCAAAGUCAGGAGCAGUGAGUAACUCAAUUUGAGAGAGCCCAGCUCCC